CGAGAUAAGGCAGCAGAUCAAGAAAGCGCUCCAGGCUCCAGAAGGAGCCUUCCAGUCCAGCUUUGAGUAUAAGCUGCUGAUGAGCAAUACUGUCUUCAUGUGAACUUGGUAUCCUGUUUCCAUCCCAGCCUUCUACAACCCAGUAACAUCUUUGUUGAAACCAGUGGGUGAGAAAGACACCUGGUCAGGAAUGCAGACCACAGGACAACUCAGGCUCACCCACGGCAUCAGACUAAAGGUGAACAAGGACUCUGUAUAAAGUACUGGUGGUGUGUGUGUUAGUGGAGAUGCAGCCUGUGCUCUGCAGACAGGGAGUCACACAGACACUUUUCUAUAAUUUCUUAAGUGCUUUGAAUGUUCAAGUAUAAAGUCUAACAUUAAAUUUGAUUGAACAAGUGUA